rnacentral:rRNA from 1 species
AAUAUUGGACAAUGUGGGCAACCCUGCUCCAGCCAUGCCGCGUGUGUGAAGAAUGUCUUCGGUUGGUAAAUCACUUUAAGUUGGGAGGAAGGGCUUUAGGUUAAUACCCUGAAGUUUUGACGUUACCAACAGAAUAAGCACCGGCUAACUCUGUGCCAGCUGCCGCGGUAAUACAGAGGGUGCAAGCGUUAAUCGGUAUUUUUGGGCGUAAAGCGCGCGUAGGUGGUUCAGUAAGAUGGGUGUGAAAUCCCCGGGCUUAACCUGGGAACUGCUUUCAUAACUGCUGAGCUAGAGUACGGUAGAGGGUAGUGGAAUUUCCUGUGUAGCGGUGAAAUGCGUAGAUAUAGGAAGGAACACCAGUGGCGAAGGCGACUACCUGGACUGAUACUGACACUGAGGUGCGAAAGCGUGGGGAGCAAACA